rnacentral:lncRNA from 1 species
AGAUAAGAGAAUAAAAGCAGGCUGCCUUGAGCCAGUAGUAACAACUGGCUCUGGUUUCUUCCUGCUUUGUAGCAGGGAGGAAGAAGAGCUUUCUCUGGAAAUGAAAUCAAGCAGCUUUCCUUGUAUUGAAAGGAAAGCGACUGAAGACAGAGUGUUCCAAGAACCAAGAGAAUGAAUGUGGCUGAUGUGUGGAGAGAAGAGAUGGACCAAGAUGAGACUGGAAAGUCUACUGCUGGGGCUGUUAACCAAACCCAACUCAUAAAGCAGAGGAUAAGGAGGUCUUUUGACACAGUCUGGAAAAGGUAGGCUCUCUGGCAUCUGUGUAUAGCUCCACUGCUUCCUCUCUGC